CCAGGAUUCUCACGUUAGUGAAACAUCCAUAGAGAAACAGCCUUUUCCACACAUCUGGCAGAGAGUUGAGUUUGACAGCACAUUUGCGUCACAGUGGUUGAAAGUGGUUGAGGACUCUGGGGAGCCCGCAGGCCAGCAGCCCUUUGGCUGCAUUCCGCAGAUCUCUGCCUCCCUGUCGCCAGACUGCCACCCUUCUUGCCAACACCUCUGAUCACAGGGCGGGAACAGAGUUUCUUCUUCCAUUCAACUCACAGUGAAGCCAGUAGUGGGAUGUUUUUUAUACUAUGGACUCUUCCCAAAAUCCAGUAGAUCUUUAUGGAGAAGGUGAGUACCUCAACUUCCAAGAUGUUACAAUUACACACUGAUUUUUUUUCUUUUACUGUUUUUUUUACUG